GAUGAACGCUGGCGGCGUGCCUAAUACAUGCAAGUCGAGCGAACAGACGAGGAGCUUGCUCCUCUGACGUUAGCGGCGGACGGGUGAGUAACACGUGGAUAACCUACCUAUAAGACUGGGAUAACUUCGGGAAACCGGAGCUAAUACCGGAUAAUAUAUUGAACCGCAUGGUUCAAUAGUGAAAGACGGUUUUGCUGUCACUUAUAGAUGGAUCCGCGCCGCAUUAGCUAGUUGGUAAGGUAACGGCUUACCAAGGCAACGAUGCGUAGCCGACCUGAGAGGGUGAUCGGCCACACUGGAACUGAGACACGGUCCAGACUCCUACGGGGGGCAGCAGUAGGGAAUCUUCCGCAAUGGGCGAAAGCCUGACGGAGCAACGCCGCGUGAGGGAUGAAGGUCUUCGGAUCGUAAAACUCUGUUAUUAGGGAAGAACAAAUGUGUAAGUAACUAUGCACGUCUUGACGGUACCUAAUCAGAAAGCCACGGCUAACUACGUG
rnacentral:rRNA from 1 species